UGGGGAAUCUUGCGCAAUGGGCGAAAGCCUGACGCAGCGACGCCGCGUGAGGGAAGAAGGCCUUCGGGUUGUAAACCUCUUUCAGGAGGGACGAAGCUACUCGGGUGAAUAGCCCAGAGGGUGACGGUACCUCCAGAAGAAGCCCCGGCUAACUACGUGCCAGCAGCCGCGGUAAUACGUAGGGGGCAAGCGUUGUCCGGAUUUACUGGGCGUAAAGCGCGUGUAGGCGGCCGAGCAGGUCUGUUGUGAAAACUGGAGGCUCAACCUCCAGACGUCGACAGAAACCGCACGGCUAGAGUCCGGAAGAGGAGAGUGGAAUUCCUGGUGUAGCGGUGAAAUGCGCAGAUAUCAGGAAGAACACCAAUGGCGAAGGCAGCUCUCUGGGACGGUACUGACGCUGAGACGCGAAAGCGUGGGGAGCGAACAGG
rnacentral:rRNA from 1 species